CUAGUCUUAUCGGUGGAUCACUCGGCUCGUGGUUCGAUGAAGAACGCAGCUAACUGCGAUAACUAGUGCGAACUGCAGAAACCUUGAGCACUAAAGCUUCGAAUGCACAUUGCGCCAUUGGAUUCAUUGUCCUUUGGCACGCCUGGUUCAGGGUCAUA
rnacentral:rRNA from 1 species